rnacentral:rRNA from 1 species
AGUGAACGCUGGCGGUAGGCCUAACACAUGCGAGUCGAACGGCAGCACAGUAAGAGCUUGCUCUUACGGGUGGCGAGUGGCGGACGGGUGAGGAAUACAUCGGAAUCUACUUUUUCGUGGGGGAUAACGUAGGGAAACUUACGCUAAUACCGCAUACGACCUACGGGUGAAAGCAGGGGAUCUUCGGACCUUGCGCGAUUGAAUGAGCCGAUGUCGGAUUAGCUAGUUGGCGGGGUAAAGGCCCACCAAGGCGACGAUCCGUAGCUGGUCUGAGAGGAUGAUCAGCCACACUGGAACUGAGACACGGUCCAGACUCCUACGGGAGGCAGCAGUGGGGAAUAUUGGACAAUGGGCGCAAGCCUGAUCCAGCCAUACCGCGUGGGUGAAGAAGGCCUUCGGGUUGUAAAGCCCUUUUGUUGGGAAAGAAAAGCAGCAGGUUAAUACCCCGCUGUUCCGACGGUACCCAAAGAAUAAGCACCGGCUAACCUCGUG